rnacentral:rRNA from 1 species
CCUACGGGAGGCAGCAGUGAGGAAUAUUGGGCAAUGGGCGCAAGCCUGACCCAGCAACGCCGCGUGAAGGAAGAAGGCUUUCAGGUUGUAAACUUCUUUUUUCCGGGACGCAGCAAGUGACGGUACCUGACGAAUAAGCCACGCCUAACUACGUGCCAGCAGACGCGGUAAUACGGAGGUCGCAAGCGUUAUCCGGAUUUACUGGGUGUAAAGGGCGUGUAGGCGGGACUGCAAGUCAGAUGUGAAAACCACGGGCUCAACCUGUGGCCUGCCUUUGAAACUGUAGGUCUUGAGUACUGGAGAGGCAGACGGAAUGCGUGGUGUAGCGGUGAAAUGCGUAGAUAUUAGGAGGAACACCAGUGGCGAAGGCGGUCUGCUGGACAGAAACUGACGCUGAGGCGCGAAAGCGUGGGGAGCAAACAGGAUUAGAUACCCCAGUAGUC